ACCAAAUCACCCGCGAGUCUCGCCCCACUCCACCCCAGCCGCCAAACGAACCCUAACCCCUUUCUCUUUCCCCUCGAUCACCACGAGCUCCCUCUCCACCUCCCAAUGCAUACUUUCCUCGCCCGCAGCCAUCGGCUUUGUCUCUCCACCCGCCUCCUCCUCUCCUCUACACGGUGGUCGAUCUCAUCCCUGGCCUUCUUCUCUGCUUGCCUCCUCCUGUCCUCUUCCAUGUCGCCGUCGAUCCAGAUCGGACGUACAUCGUCGUGGGAGAGCAGCGGCGGCUGGGUCUUCAUGGUGCGGGUGAGGAUGUAGGGGAGGGGUAGGAUGCAGACGACAAGGAGAAGGAGGAGGCCGGCGAGGAAGGGAAGCAGCAGCGGGGAAGGAGCAGGAGCGCGAUCCUAGCAGGGGGAAGGGGCAGGGUGAGGCCUCGCCGGCAGGUUGACUUGUCGCGCCACCACGUCGUCGCCUCCUCUGCGCCAUGAGAGGCGCCACCUCUGCCUCCACCCCCACUGGGAAAGGAGCUCGAGGUGAACAGGAGGUGUGGAAAGGCGAGAGGAAGCAGGAGCUCGUCCCUCCUCCCAUGGCUGCCUCGUGGAUCUGGAGUACAAGGAGGACAACACGUGCCUGUUGCAGGCGGCUUGAGCGACGCGAACCAGGCUCACUGAUGGAGCAUGCCUAAUCUUGGACUGCAUUUAUUGCCUGGUGUUGGGUGCUUUGGAUGGUGGUCUUGAUAUUCCGCACAGUGACAAGAGAUUUGGUGGCUUCAAGAAGGAUGAGAAGCAGCUGGACACUAAGAUUCACCUCAAAUUCAUUUAUGAAGAUCAUGUUGUUGACUGCAUGAAGCUGAUGAGGAGCCUGAGAAAUGCCAAUUUCACUUUAGUGGGUACAUCAAGAAGGGGAUUGCGGCUGAUGACAUGGAAGCACUGUACAAGAAGGUUCAUGCUGCCAUUUGUGCUGAUCCUACCAUGGCAAAAUCAACCAAGGAACCUCCGAAGAAGCACAAGAGGUAUAAUCUCAAGAAGCGUUGAGGUAGGUGACACAACUUGCCAUGUAUGUGAUGUUGCAACUCAAAAUUAAGAUGUUGUCAAUCCAAUAAGAGAAGCCAAGGAGCUAUUGGCGAUCGUGUGGUGCGCGACCUUAUACUGGAUCAUGAAGUUUACCAGUAUGUAGUAAUGGCUAGGAUGAAUUAAGGAAUGGUUGCCAUUUCAUGGUACAGCUGAGCUGACGUUGAGUAUAUGUUUCAAAAUGUAUCCAAGAUUGCAGGAAGUUAAUUACACCAUCAGUGGAAGAUGGACAUAGCCCCUCAGAAUUGGACCCAUGGAAGCAUGAGGAACUGGUCCGCAACGUCUUCCAGUGUACGCGUACACACAAUUCGCUUUCCUUUUCUUUUCAAACUUUUUAUAGAUGAUGUGGUUGAGUUACUAAGCCUCUUCUUGCUGUGUCGUCUGCGAGGCCGAAGGGUGUGAGCAAUUUAACUGAGGCUGAUGCAAUCUUUGGACCAGUAGUGACGCCAGUGCCUGUAUAUCCCAUGACUGGUUCUUUCAGCUCAAUAUCCAUACACUACUUGUUUGUAUUCUGUAUUCCAGUGCAAAUUAUGAUUGUUGCUAAACACUUCUGCAUGUAAGUGCACUACUCUCUGUACUAAAAAAAUGUCACUUCACUACCACAAUGCUAGCAUGCAUUCUUUUUUACAAUUGUUCAUCUUCUUUCUCCUCUGUUCGUCACUAAGAUUCAUCUAUGACCUCCUCUUUGAGGAGAUCAACUAAUCUUGUUGCAGUUUUUGUUGAAACAUUGAUUAGGUGCUCCAAGAAUGUAUGUGAGCUUGACAUUGUAUUUAACUUCAUCAAGAUGAUGUGGUUGAGUUACGAAGCCUCUUAUUGCAGUGUUGUCUGCAAGGCCGAAGGGAAGUUAUUAAUGCAUUUGAGCUGCUCUAUCUGAUUGCUCAUCUCCUGAACCUGUUUUAGUUGAUAUAAAAGUGUUCUCUAUUUCAGAAAGCCAGAACACGAGAUUGUGCCCCCUCUUGCUCCAGGCUAUUCCUCAUGUUGCAACCUUUUCCCAUAGAAUUGAAAGGAAGAUGGAAGAAAUUGCAGGAGGAAUGGUGUUUCCAGCAUGACAUUCAAAACCAGUCAAGACUAUAAAGGGGCUGUGAAGGACGAAAUGCUAUGGAUCCAGAGUGGGAGGGGAGAGUUACCAACAAUGUAUCAAGGAUAAACCGUGACAUGGAUUCCUAAGUUCCAACUUACAUAGCAAAAUUAUAUAGGGAGAAUGCCUACAUUUUGAAAACUCUAUUACAUAGUUUGAAGCUAUGUUUCUUUCAAUUUUCAUUAUUAAAAGGAUCCUUCUUAUUGCUAAUUUGUCAAGCAUCUAUUGUCGAAUAACUCUUUGCUUCAAAUGAGACCUGUGGCGUUUAUUAUA